GGCGGCGGACGGGUGAGUAACGCGGGGGUAACCUGCCCUGUACACACGGAUAACAUACCGAAAGGUAUGCUAAUACGAGAUAAUAUACUUUUAUCGCAUGGUAGAAGUAUCAAAGCUCCGGCGGUACAGGAUGGACCCGCGUCUGAUUAGCUAGUUGGCAAGGUAACGGCUUACCAAGGCGACGAUCAGUAGCCGACCUGAGAGGGUGAUCGGCCACAUUGGAACUGAGACACGGUCCAAACUCCUACGGGAGGCAGCAGUGGGGAAUAUUGCACAAUGGGCGAAAGCCUGAUGCAGCAACGCCGCGUGAGCGAUGAAGGCCUUCGGGUCGUAAAGCUCUGUCCUCAAGGAAGAUAAUGACGGUACUUGAGGAGGAAGCCCCGGCUAACUACGUGCCAGCAGCCGCGGUAAAACGUAGGGGGCUAGCGUUAUCCGGAAUUACUGGGCGUAAAGGGUGCGUAGGUGGUUUCUUAAGUCAGAGGUGAAAGGCUACGGCUCAACCGUAGUAAGCCUUUGAAACUGGGAAACUUGAGUGCAGGAGAGGAGAGUGGAAUUCCUAGUGUAGCGGUGAAAUGCGUAGAUAUUAGGAGGAACACCAGUUGCGAAGGCGGCUCUCUGGACUGUAACUGACACUGAGGCACGAAAGCGUGGGGAGCAAACAGGAUUAGAUACCCUGGUAGUCCACGCCGUAAACGAUGAGUACUAGCUGU
rnacentral:rRNA from 1 species